rnacentral:rRNA from 1 species
AAUCAACGCUGGCGGCGUGCCUCAGACAUGCAAGUCGAACGCGAAAGGCCCCUUCGGGGGCCGAGUAGAGUGGCGUCCGGGUGAGUAACACGUGGGUAAUCUACCUUCGGGUGGGGAAUAACGACCGGAAACGGUCGCUAAUACCGCAUAAUGCAGCGGCACCUAAUGGUGACAGUUGUUAAAGCGGGGAUCGCAAGACCUCGCGCCUGAAGAGGAGCCCGCGGCGGAUUAGCUAGUUGGCAGGGUAACGGCCUACCAAGGCGACGAUCCGUAGCCGGCCUGAGAGGGCGGUCGGCCACACUGGCACUGACACACGGGCCAGACUCCUACGGGAGGCAGCAGUCGGGAAUUUUGGGCGAAUGGGCGAAAGCCUGACCCAGCAACGCCGCGUGAAGGAUGAAGCUUUUCGGAGUGUAAACUUCAUAAGAAUGGACGAAUAAGGAGGGGUUAACACCCCCUUUGAUGACGGUACCAUUGUAAGCUCCGGCUAACUCCGUGACAGCAGCCGCCG